rnacentral:rRNA from 1 species
UGCCAGCAGCCGCGGUAAUACGGGAGGGGCAAGCGUUAUCCGAAAUGACUGGGCGUAAAGAGUCCGUAGACUGUACUGUAAGUUAUUUGUUAAAUCCUAAAGCCCAACUUUAGAGCAGCAUUUAAUACUACUUUACUUGAGUUUUGUUCGGAAGAGUAGAAUUCCACGUUUAGGGAUAAUCCCCGUAGAUAUGUGGAGGAACACCAUUAGCGAAGGCGACUCUUUGGUAAAAACUGACGUUGAGAGACGACAGCUAGGGGAGCAAAUGGGAUUAGAUA